rnacentral:rRNA from 1 species
UUUCCGUAGGUGAACCUGCGGAAGGAUCAUUGACAAGUCCCAAUACUAUUAUGCGAACAUGUUACCUUCAAAUAUACAUGAAAAUGUACCUUUAUUGGUCUUUUCAUGUUAGCCGACCAUCACUCUAUCUUAUUGAGUGAUGGGGAGCUAUAACAAACACUUCGGCACGGUCCGUGCCAAGGAAUUUAUGGAUGUCAACGUUGUUGUAACUUUGUGUUGCCCUACGAUGACUGCUUAUAUCAUAUAAUGAUAAUUUUGAUGACUCUCGGCAACGGAUAUCUUGGUCCUCGCAUCGAUGAAGAACGUAGCGAAAUGCGAUACUUGGUGUGAAUUGCAGAAUCCCGUGAACCAUCGAGUUUUUGAACGCAAGUUGCGCCCAAAGCUUUCGGGCCGAGGGCUAGCCUGCGUGGGCGUCAUGUAAUGUUGCUCCACUCUCAUUGAGUCAUCAAUGGAUCGGUGGCAGCGAAAAUUGACCCUCCAUUCUUGUCUAAGGAAUGGUGGGUUUAAGUAAAAGGCAUUCAAAGAAAGUGCAAGUUAUAACAGUUGAAGUCUCAUAGAAUUUGGGCAUUCUUGUCCACUGUGUGCCUACUUGUUAUUCUUGUCUUUUUUGAUCCUCCUUGCCAAUGUUAUUUUGUUCAUAAGUACAUUAGUUGUACGAGAACAUUUCAACUUGGCUCAUAUAGCGACCCCACGUCAGGCUGGAUCACCCGCUGAGUUUAA